AUGUGGCCGUCGGCAACUACGUUAGUUCUGGUAGUGAUUCCCACCGCUCCUAAUGCAAGGCAUGCAUUUUCUCCACCUGGACGUGAUGGUCGUUUGGAUGGUUCGACACCAAUUGAGUUGGGCUCGCUGAGGUGCAUUCGUCGCACAUUUGGACAAGCUGAGAUUAACGAUUGGACUAGAUUACGGGAUUCCCUCCCGCGCGUGCUCACGGACUCUCCGGACACGGUGUUCUGGCGACUCGCGCCGUUGGCGGAAUUCUCUGUGAGCACGGCAUACCAGUCCCUUUGCCCGUCUCAGGCCACCCCAUGGCUGUCCCCACUCUGGAAAGCCCCCAUCCCUCUAAAGAUUAAGAUCUUCGUUUGGCAAUUAUUACGGGACUGCCUCCCCUCAGGGACUGAGGUGCGUAAACGACACGGACCUGGUGAUGGUCUUUGCCCUCUUUGUGCGGUACUGGAAACCGGGACCCAUAUCCUAUUCUCGUGUACCGCGGAGAGGGUACUUUGGGCGUAUGUCCGCGAAGCGUUGGGGCCUGACUGGGAGGCCCUCAACCUCGCUGAGUUUCUCCAACUUAGAGCUCUUCAGCCGUCACGUCAUCGCCGCCUUUUUGGCUUAUUUUUGCGGCGAUAA
rnacentral:rRNA from 1 species